rnacentral:lncRNA from 1 species
CCAAGACCGAGGCGCUAGAGACACAAAUCGAAGAUUGGUGACAAUUCUGAACUUACCAUGCAAAGGUGUAUUAGCUGUUACUGAUGUGUUGGCUGAAGAAAUCUGGGAGAAAAGCACCUUUCUGGAGACAAUCAGCAUGCACUCUGCACAUCAGUUGUCUUCUGCAUUAAGCUCCGCAGGCUCUCUUCACUCAAAUAUCUGAGGUGCUUGAUUUUCUUUAAACUUAAUCCAUAAGGAAACAGCGAGCAAGAAUCUUCAUCAAAUCCUGUGGAGAAAGGAUGAGAUCUACUCACUUCAAGAUUUUGGGGGUAUUCCCAGAUGAAGGUCCUGACAGCACCUCAAGCUAUUACCCUGUUCAGGCAGAGUGUGAAAUGGAAGAUUCAAGAUUCAUACUCUCUGUGUAUAGUUGCUGAUCUGUA